AUUUAAAUAGCUUAUGUAUAGAGUAUGAUAGUGAAGUUAUCAGGGAAGUAGAGUUUACUUUUAAAUA
rnacentral:tRNA from 2 species